GGAUAACUCCGCGAAAGCGGGGCUAAUACCGAAUAAUAUUUCGAGGUCCUCGGACUUGCAAUCAAAGAUGGCCUCUGCUUGCAAGCUAUCGCUUAAGGAUGGGCCGCGUACCAUUAGCUAGUUGGUAGGGUAACGGCCUACCAAGGCAACUAUGUUAGCUGGUCUGAGAGGAUGGCCAGCCACACUGGAACUGAGACACGGUCAGACUCCUACGGGAGGCAGCAGUGGGGAAUCUUGCGCAAUGGGGAAACCCUGACGCAGCAACGCCGCGUGGGUGAUGAAGGCCUUCGGGUGUAAAGCCCUGUCAGGUGGGAAGAACCAUGUUGAUGCUAAUACCAUCACACUUGACGGUACCACCGGAGGAAGCACCGGCUAACUCCGUGCCAGCAGCGCGGUAAUACGGAGGGUGCAAGCGUUGUUCGGAAUUAUUGGGCGUAAAGGUGUA
rnacentral:rRNA from 1 species